GACGAACGCUGGCGGCGUGCCUAAUACAUGCAAGUUGAGCGCUGAAGGUUGGUACUUGUACCAACUGGAUGAGCAGCGAACGGGUGAGUAACGCGUGGGGAAUCUGCCUUUGAGCGGGGGACAACAUUUGGAAACGAAUGCUAAUACCGCAUAAAAACUUUAAACACAAGUUUUAAGUUUGAAAGAUGCAAUUGCAUCACUCAAAGAUGAUCCCGCGUUGUAUUAGCUAGUUGGUGAGGUAAAGGCUCACCAAGGCGAUGAUACAUAGCCGACCUGAGAGGGUGGUCGGCCACAUUGGGACUGAGACACGGCCCAAAAUCCUACGGGAGGCAGCAGUAGGGGAUCUUCGGCAAUGGACGAAAGUCUGACCGAGCAACGCCGCGUGAGUGAAGAAGGGUUUCGGAUCGUAAAACUCUGUUGGUAGGGAAGAAAGUUGGUGAGAGUGGAAAGCUCAUCAAGUGACGGUAACUACCCAGAAAGGGACGGCUAACUACGUG
rnacentral:rRNA from 1 species